GUGCAGCUGAUCGCAGAGAUGGGUCUGCCGCAAGGGCUGCAUUGUAUUCUGCUAGGACAUCAUCUACCACGUCUUCGACGACAGCAGUUUUUACAGGUGGGGAUUUAUCACACGAAGAUCUUGCAUCCGGUUCGUGGGUUCCUGGAGUUGGUGGAAUUUGCACUGCAGAGGUACUGCGAAUAGUGGGAGGCAUAGUAGGUUGGUAUUCCGCCAUCUUAGGCCCCACUGCAUUCAGGACGGGGGUGUCAGGACGCUCUGAUGGAUGGUGGUAUGUAUAUAAUUUGAGAACAAGUCAACCUUGGGAUAUUGUUGCAACAGCCAAUGGGUUAUCAAGAAGGAAAAGUUUUCCCAAAUGGUACACGCGAAGAAGUUGCAAAAGAAGAGAACAAGAGAAUUUGCAAAGAAUGAAACACCUUGCUGGUCGCUGGUAUUUAUACGGCCAAAUUCAUACCCACGACGGGUGACAGG
rnacentral:sRNA from 1 species